rnacentral:rRNA from 1 species
GCGUAGGGCGGACUACCAUGCAAGUCGAGCGGUAGAGAGAAGCUUGCUUCUCUUGAGAGCAGCGGACGGGUGAGUAAUGCCUAGGAAUCUGCCUGGUAGUGGGGGAUAACGUUCGGAAACGAACGCUAAUACCGCAUACGUCCUACGGGAGAAAGCAGGGGACCUUCGGGCCUUGCGCUAUCAGAUGAGCCUAGGUCGGAUUAGCUAGUUGGUGAGGUAAUGGCUCACCAAGGCGACGAUCCGUAACUGGUCUGAGAGGAUGAUCAGUCACACUGGAACUGAGACACGGUCCAGACUCCUACGGGAGGCAGCAGUGGGGAAUAUUGGACAAUGGGCGAAAGCCUGAUCCAGCCAUGCCGCGUGUGUGAAGAAGGUCUUCGGAUUGUAAAGCACUUUAAGUUGGGAGGAAGGGCAUUAACCUAAUACGUUAGUGUUUUGACGUUACCGACAGAAUAAGCACCGGCUAACUCUGUGCCAGCACCCGCCCGGUAAU